GGUGCUUGCAUCAUGAUUUACAUUUGAGUGAGUGGCGAACUGGUGAGUAACACGUGGGAAACCUGCCCAGAAGCGGGGGAUAACACCUGGAAACAGAUGCUAAUACCGCAUAACAACUUGGACCGCAUGGUCCGAGCUUGAAAGAUGGCUUCGGCUAUCACUUUUGGAUGGUCCCGCGGCGUAUUAGCUAGAUGGUGGGGUAACGGCUCACCAUGGCAAUGAUACGUAGCCGACCUGAGAGGGUAAUCGGCCACAUUGGGACUGAGACACGGCCCAAACUCCUACGGGAGGCAGCAGUAGGGAAUCUUCCACAAUGGACGAAAGUCUGAUGGAGCAACGCCGCGUGAGUGAAGAAGGGUUUCGGCUCGUAAAACUCUGUUGUUAAAGAAGAACAUAUCUGAGAGUAACUGUUCAGGUAUUGACGGUAUUUAACCAGAAAGCCACGGCUAACUACGUGCCAGCAGCCGCGGUAAUACGUAGGUGGCAAGCGUUGUCCGGAUUUAUUGGGCGUAAAGCGAGCGCAGGCG
rnacentral:rRNA from 1 species